rnacentral:lncRNA from 1 species
ACGAAUGUGAUUGUAGAAUCUCCGGAAUCUUCACUAAGAGAUCCGGCAAGAAUACUCUCUCCGAUGAAAGGGACUGAAGGGUGAGUUUUAAUUGGUGGGAUUUAAUUCUUUUUACAAUAUUCAUUCGGCAAUAAACAAUUAUAUAUAUAUAAUUUUUUUGGGGGAGCCUAGGGCCGCAUUUGUUUGACUAGGAGAGUGGAUAUGCCAAAUGCGAACUACCAAAGUGUGGACUUCCAAAUAAUUUGAACACUUAUGUUGAAAAAUUUUUAAUGUCAACUUUAAGGGGUUG